UACGGAGGGUGCAAGCGUUAUCCGGAUUCACUGGGUUUAAAGGGUGCGUAGGUGGGAAUGUAAGUCAGUGGUGAAAUCUCCGUGCUCAACACGGAAACUGCCAUUGAUACUAUGUUUCUUGAAUUAUCUGGAGGUCAGCGGAAUAUGUCAUGUAGCGGUGAAAUGCUUAGAUAUGACAUAGAACACCAAUUGCGAAGGCAGCUGGCUACAGGUGGAUUGACACUGAGGCACGAAAGCGUGGGGAUCAAACAGG
rnacentral:rRNA from 1 species